rnacentral:rRNA from 1 species
AAAGGAAGUUGACGGGGCCCCGCACAAGCAGCGGAGCGUGUGGUUUAAUUCGAUGUUACACGAAGAACCUUACCAGGGUUUGACAUGCAAGUGGUAGGAAGCCGAAAGGUGACCGACCCUUCGGGGAGCUUGCACAGGUGCUGCAUGGCUGUCGUCAGCUCGUGUCGUGAGAUGUUCGGUUAAGUCCGCUAACGAGCGCAACCCUCGCUGUGUGUUAUAUGUGUCACACGGGACUGCCGGUCUUAAGCCGGAGGAAGGUGGGGAUGAUGUCAAGUCAGCAUGGCCUUUAUAUCCUGGGCUACACACACGCUACAAUGGCCAACACAAUAGGUUGCUAAGCCGCGAGGUGGCGCCAAUCCAUAAAGUUGGUCUCAGUUCAGAUUGUAGGCUGCAACCCGCCUGCAUGAAGAUGGAGUUGCUAGUAACCGCAGGUCAGCUAUACUGCGGUGAAUACGUUCCCGGGGCUU